GAUGAAGAACGCAGCGAAAUGCGAUAAGUAAUGCGAAUUACAGAAUCCGUGAGUCAUCGAAUCUUUGAACGCACAUUGCGCCCCUUGGUUAUUCCGAAGGGCAUGCCUGUUCGAGCGUCAUUAUCACCCCUCAAGCCCUGGCUUGGUGUUGGACUUUAGUUAUAGCUUUGCCUAUCAACUGGUCUCAAAGAUAGUGACGGCGCCCCAGAGGGAACCGGGUACGAGGAGCUUUUUACUAAGCAUGUAUCUGGGACGACUCUGGGCGACGGUCUUGUUAUACUUUUUACCUAAGUGUUGACCUCGGAUCAGGUAGGAAUACCCGCUGAACUUAAGCAUAUCAAUAAGCGGAGGA
rnacentral:misc_RNA from 1 species